CCUACGGGAGGCAGCAGUGGGGAAUACUGCACAAUGGGGGAAACCCUGAUGCAGCCAUGCCGCGUGUGUGAAGAAGGCCUUCGGGUUGUAAAGCACUUUUAGUUGUGAGGAAAGUUUAGUAGUUAAUACCUGCUAGAUGUGACGUUAGCAACAGAAGAAGCACCGGCUAACUCCGUGCCAGCAGCCGCGGUAAUACGGAGGGUGCGAGCGUUAAUCGGAAUUACUGGGCGUAAAGCGCACGCAGGCGGUCUGUUAAGCUAGAUGUGAAAGCCCCGCGCUCAACGUGGGAGGGUCAUUUAGAACUGGCAGACUAGAGUCUUGGAGAGGGGAGUGGAAUUCCAGGUGUAGCGGUGAAAUGCGUAGAGAUCUGGAGGAACAUCAAUGGCGAAGGCAACUCCCUGGCCAAAGACUGACGCUCAUGUGCGAAAGUGUGGGUAGCGAACAGGAUUAGAUACCCUGGUAGUCCACACCGUAAACGCUGUCUACUAGCUGUUUGUGAAUUUAAUUCGUGAGUAGCGAAGCUAACGCGAUAAGUAGACCGCCUGGGGAGUACGGCCGCAAGGUUAAAACUCAAAGGAAUUGACGG
rnacentral:rRNA from 1 species